rnacentral:tRNA from 1 species
GGAGCUGUGCCUGAAUAUAGGACCACUUUGAUAGAGUGUACCACGGGGGUUAAAAUCCCCCCAUCUCCU